GACGAACGCUGGCGGCGUGCUUAACACAUGCAAGUCGAACGGAAAGGCCCUGCUUUUGUGGGGUGCUCGAGUGGCGAACGGGUGAGUAACACGUGAGUAACCUGCCCUUGACUUUGGGAUAACUUCAGGAAACUGGGGCUAAUACCGGAUAGGAGCUCCUGCUGCAUGGUGGGGGUUGGAUAGUUUCGGCGGUUGGGGAUGGACUCGCGGCUUAUCAGCUUGUUGGUGGGGUAGUGGCUUACCAAGGCUUUGACGGGUAGCCGGCCUGAGAGGGUGACCGGCCACAUUGGGACUGAGAUACGGACCAGACGCCUACGGGAGGCAGCAGUGGGGAAUAUUGCACAAUGGGCGGAAGCCUGAUGCAGCAACGCCGCGUGCGGGAUGACGGCCUUCGGGUUGUAAACCGCUUUCGCCUGUGACGAAGCGUGAGUGACGGUAAUGGGUAAAGAAGCACCGGCUAACUACGUG
rnacentral:rRNA from 1 species